rnacentral:rRNA from 1 species
CAGCCGCCGCGGGAAUACGUAGGGUGCAAGCGUUAAUCGGAAUUACUGGGCGUAAAGCGUGCGUAGGUGGUGGUUUAAGUCCGUUGUGAAAGCCCUGGGCUCAACCUGGGAAUUGCAGUGGAUACUGGAUCACUAGAGUGUGGUAGAGGAUAGUGGAAUUUCCGGUGUAGCAGUGAGAUGCGUAGAGAUCGGAAGGAACAUCUGUGGCGAAGGCGACUAUCUGGGUCAACACUGACACUGAGGCACGAAAGCGUGGGGAGCAAACAGGAUUAGAUACCCCUGUAGUCCCUGUCUCUUAUAC